GUGGUGAAUAUUGAAGGAUUUUAAAGAUGAAAGGGGUUUGAUCUCCUUUUUGUUUCUGUUCCUGGGAGAGAAAACCCACGGGUGGCAGUGAGGGCACGCAGGAAGCCAGUUAGAAGCGAGGAUGGUGUCUUGCUGUUGUUCCCCUGCUGUUCCCAGGGCCCAAUUUUGCCUGCCUCCUCCCCACCCCCUGAAAUCCUUCUCAUCCUUCAAUGCCCAACUCCAGCCAAUGGCACCGAACUCCUGGACCCGCCAGGCAGAAGUGGGGGCUCCCUCUCGGCUGACCCCAGAGCACUUCCUUAGCUCCUGCUGAUCUUAGAGCACACACACCACUCCACCUGCCCACUCAGCAGUGUUUCUUGAUGGCACUGGCAUGGCACCUGUGCUGGGGUCAGACCCUCAACCAGCCCUUCGGUGUUGAAAUGCAGCAUCUCAGCCCUCUAGCCUUGGAGAAGGAAGCAGGGAUCGUCAGAUUGGGAGAAGUGUGUACAACCAAAAGGAGGGGCCCAAAUAUCUGAAGCCCACAGGAGCUGGCUCCUCCACAGCUCUCAGGAAUGACAGUAAACACAAAUGGCCCUGAAUGGAUCCAGGCCACAGCCACCCUCCUCCUGAGCCGCAUAUCAGGCUAACAAGCCCAGCCGCCAGCUUCACAGGCAUUGGAGAACCAGUGACUCUUGUCAAGGAAGCUGGUGACCCUGGGCCAGUUGCCUCCACUCUCUAUGCCUUAAUCCCCCACCCUGUCAAUUAGGAGGAUAACACCUUCUUCAAAGCAUUGUCAUAAGGAUUAAAUCCUUACUAUAGUC